AUUGAACGCUGGCGGCAUGCCUUACACAUGCAAGUCGAACGGUAACGGGCCUUCGGGUGCCGACGAGUGGCGAACGGUGAGCAAUGCAUCGGAACGUACCUUUCAGUGGGGGAUAACGUAGCGAAAGUUACGCUAAUACCGCAUAUUCUGUGAGCAGGAAAGCAGGGGAUCGCAAGACCUUGCGCUGAUUGAGCGGCCGAUGUCAGAUUAGCUAGUUGGUGAGGUAAAGGACUCACCAAGGCGACGAUCUGUAGCGGGUCUGAGAGGAUGAUCCGCCACACUGGAACUGAGACACGGUCCAGACUCCUACGGGAGGCAGCAGUGGGGAAUUUUGGACAAUGGGGCGAACCCUGAUCCAGCCAUGCCGCGUGAGUGAAGAAGGCCUGG
rnacentral:rRNA from 1 species